rnacentral:rRNA from 1 species
CCUACGGGAGGCAGCAGUGGGGCAUAUUGGGCAAUGGGCGCAAGCCUGACCCAGCAACGCCGCGUGAAGGAAGAAGGCUUUCGGGUUGUAAACUUCUUUUCUCAGGGACGAAGCAAGUGACGGUACCUGAGGAAAAAGCAUCGGCUAACUCCGUGCCAGCAGCCGCGGUAAUACGGGGGGUGCGGGCGUUAUCCGGUUUUAUUGGGUUUAAAGGGUGCGUAGGAGGGCUGUUAAGUCAGCGGUAAAAUUGCGGGGCUCAACGCCGUCGAGCCGUUGAAACUGGCAGACUUGAGUUGGCGAGAAGUACGCGGAAUGCGCGGUGUAGCGGUGAAAUGCAUAGAUAUCGCGCAGAACUCCGAUUGCGAAGGCAGCGUACCGGAGCCAGACUGACGCUGAGGCACGAAAGCGUGGGGAUCGAACAGGAUUAGAUACCCGUGUAGUC